AAUGAACGCUGGCGGCAGGCCUAACACAUGCAAGUCGAACGAGGUAGCAAUACCUAGUGGCGGACGGGUGAGUAACGCGUGGGAACGUGCCCCUUGGUACGGAAUAGCCCUGGGAAACUGGGAGUAAUACCGUAUGUGGUCGAGAGACGAAAGAUUUAUCGCCAAGGGAUCGGCCCGCGUUGGAUUAGGAAGUUGGUGGGGUAAUGGCCUACCAAGCCGACGAUCCAUAGCUGGUUUGAGAGGAUGAUCAGCCACACUGGGACUGAGACACGGCCCAGACUCCUACGGGAGGCAGCAGUGGGGAAUCUUAGACAAUGGGGGAAACCCUGAUCUAGCCAUGCCGUGUGAUCGAUGAAGGCCUUAGGGUUGUAAAGAUCUUUCAGUGGGGAAGAUAAUGACGGUACCCACAGAAGAAGCCCCGGCUAACUCCGUGCCAGCCGCCGCCGUAA
rnacentral:rRNA from 1 species